rnacentral:rRNA from 1 species
UACAGAGGUCUCAAGCGUUGUUCGGAUUCAUUGGGCGUAAAGGGUGCGUAGGUGGCGAGGUUAGUCAGGUGUGAAAUCUCGGGGCUCAACCCCGAAACUGCACUUGAUACUGCCUUGCUAGAGUACUGGAGAGGAGAUUGGAAUUUACGGUGUAGCAGUGAAAAGCGUAGAUAUCGUAAGGAAGACCAGUGGCGAAGGCGAAUCUCUGGACAGUUACUGACACUGAGGCACGAAGGCCAGGGGAGCAAACGGG